AACGCGAAGAACCUUACCAAGGCUUGACAUACACCAGACCGGCCUGGAAGCAGGUCUUCCCCUUUGGGGUUGGUGUACAGGUGGUGCAUGGUUGUCGUCAGCUCGUGUCGUGAGAUGUUGGGUUAAGUCCCGCAACGAGCGCAACCCUCGUUCUAUGUUGCCAGCACGUGAUGGUGGGAACUCAUAGGAGACUGCCGGGGUCAACUCGGAGGAAGGUGGGGAUGACGUCAAAUCAUCAUGCCCUUUAUGUCUUGGGCUUCACGCAUGCUACAAUGGCUGGUACAAAGAGAAGCGAACCCGUGAGGGUCAGCGAAUCCCUUAAAGCCAGUCUCAGUUCGGAUCGUAGUCUGCAAUUCGACUACGUGAAGUCGGAGUCGCUAGUAAUCGCAGAUCAGCAACGCUGCGGUGAAUACGUUCCCGGGUCUUGUACACACCG
rnacentral:rRNA from 1 species